UGAAUAUAAAUGCAUGCUGAAAAUUUCCUCUUAUUUUACACAGUCAGCCUCUUGGUAUAGCAUUUCCUGAUAACAGAAAGUUGGUUGGCAAAUAGGAAGUUAUCUGAAUUGCUCAAGUAGCUCCCCUGGUUGAGAUAAACCCUUGUUCAGCAACUUGUUUUUGAUUUGUAAAAACAAGCCAGAUAAGCCUCCCUUGCCGAGGUUAUCUCUGCUCUUUUGGAGGACUCUAGACUAAUCUUGCACCCAGGCAAGGUCUGCAGCCAAGCUUUAUUUAACAACAGUUUACUGCCUCACAAAUGAAGCGUGAAAAUUUAGGCAAAUAUGCCUGGAAAUCUCCAGAUUAAAACAGGAAAAGAUAAGACAACUAGUUUGUUGAAAUAGAUAAGAUAUGAGAAAGAAGCCUGAAGGGAUCCUGUUUCAGAAGAUUGAUGAAGAAGAUUCUCAAAGUUUAACAACAACAAAAGAGAACAUUGAAGGGAACAGAACUCCACUGAGGACUUUGGCAUUGGAACAUACCUAUAAUUUAUCUUUG
rnacentral:lncRNA from 12 species